UACGGGCGUGGCGCAGGGCGUUGGCGAGCAGCGGGCUGACGAUCCGCUCCAGCAGCGCGCUCUGCACGCCCGCCCGCAG
rnacentral:tRNA from 1 species